rnacentral:misc_RNA from 1 species
AGUCCCAAUCAUUGUCCCCAAGCACAGGCCCUGCAUCAAAUGACAUUAUGGUAGGAAAAGGGGGAAAAAUGUUAUAAAAACAUCAUGAGACAUAUAUAAGUCACUCCAAAAAAGAAAAGUUUAAGCAUAGAUUCUUCCUAUACGGUAUACCAUGAUGCAUAUUUUUAUGCUUCAUAAUCUCAUUUGAGAUUGUACUCAUCAUGUGGAAUUGCUAAGCAACUUAAAUAGUCAUUUCAAUGCCAUGCUCCUAAUAUCCUUAGAGGACACUGAGGAGAAAGAAAGCAGUAAAUCAAUUAACAGAUGGAAAAGAGACCAAAAGGUAACUCAAGAUGGCAUUCACAUAAAAUUACAAUUAGCAGCUUAUACCCAGAGGAAAGUGAGUCCAGCAUUUGGUAGAAGUGACAAUUCAAUCCUCAUUUAAUUGGUAAAAAUUUGUUGUGAAGUUGUUCUCUUUUUCUUUUGUGUGUGUGUGUGUGU